AAAAAAAAAAUAACUUCCAGUAACCGACCAAGGCUUAGUGCUCUCUCUUCACUGUCUCACGCUUUUCUUCUCGGUGCGUGCGUGCGUGUGUGUCUGUCUCUGUGUUUUCCCUUGUUUUUUUUUUUGUUCAAAAUAUUUGCUUUUUUUUUCUUAAAUCAAUCUUGAUGUCUGUUUGCUUCCGUUAAUGGAUUCUGCGUUCCUCGACAUUGGUUGAUCCAAUCAAUACAGGUUCAGAGGCUGGAAUUCGGUUUUUCCUGCUGAAAAUACGUAAAGAGGCUAGUUUUUUGCCGAGAUUGUGAAAUCAAAUAAAGCCGAAUUCCAAACAUGAGGUUCCGGUUAGGUGGAGUUGUUAAAAGUUGAACAAAUAGUAUUUUGGGGUAAAAAGAUAAUAAGGUUUGAGGAGGGUAGUAUGGAACCUCUAUGCGAUUUUUGUCGAGGGGUAAGAGCAGUAGUUUACUGUAAAUCGGAUUCAGCUCGGCUUUGUUUGAGAUGCGAUGGGUGUGUUCACUCUGCAAAUCUGUUGUCAUGUAGACAUGCUCGUUCACUUUUGUGUGAGAAAUGUAAUUCUCAGUCUUCCAUAGUCCGAUGCUUGGAUGAGAGAUUGUCUCUUUGUCAAGAUUGUGAUUGGAAUGGCAAUGGUUGUUUGAGUUUGGGACAUAGGCGCGAGCCCUUGAAUUGUUAUACCGGUUGUCCUUCGAUGGCCGAGUUUAGACGAAUCUGGUCUUCAGUUCUUGAUGCUUCUUCUCGUGGCGGUUUUGAUACUGGUUUGUCACAGCCCGGUAAUGAUGAUUGUUUUGCUAACUGUUCGGAUCAAAGAGAACAAGGGGCCUCAUUUGGAUCGGCUGGUACCAAGUUGAGUGAAUUAGAUUCUAGUUCUAAGCUAAAGCCAUGUAUGGAGUCAUCUUGUUUGAUAUCAACAAAUGCAAAUUGCAUGCCUUACUGUGGAGAUCAAGAAUCACUUUUCUCAGAGGAUAUGCCAAAGGGUUAUUCUGAACUCAAAGAUUUCAAGGUUCCUGAUGGCGAUGAUCUUUGUGAGGGUCUUAUCAUGAAUGAUUUUCAACUAACCUUUGAGACUGCAGAUGAGAUAUUGGGCUGUUCACAAGCUCAAACUAGAUGCCAGUUUGGGAAUGUUGGGACAGACAGCAUUUUGAUGGAGAAAACCUUAUCAGUAACUGAAUCAGAUGGUCCUAUUGAGACUACAUUAGAGGCAUCAUCAUCAGUAAAAAAGGACUGCGUGCCUUUUCCAUCCUCACAAGUUGGUGGAUUAGCUAGCAUGAUGGCUUCCAUGAUUGGCACUUCCAAUUGCAUGCUUAUCAAUCCUGGUUGUAACAUCAAUCUAGGAUAUCCUGUUGGUCAAAUUCCUUCAACCAUGGCUCAUUCAUUAUCCACCAUUGCAGUGGAAAAUAGCCCUGCUGAUUAUCAAGACUGCGGAUUAGCACCUGUUUUUCUAACUGGUGAAUCCCCAUGGGAAUCAAAUUUGGAAGUUAGUUGUCCACAAGCAAGGGACAAAGCAAAGAUAAGAUACAAUGAAAAAAAGAAAACGCGGAUAUUCGGUAAGCAAAUAAGAUAUGCUUCCCGUAAAGCUAGAGCUGACACUAGGAAACGUGUGAAGGGUCGAUUUGUGAAAGCAGGCGAAGCAUAUGAUUAUGAUCCUCUUGUGCCACGAAAUUUCUAAGCCACAUUAUGUAAUAAUGUCCCUGAUCAUGAAGGUUUAGUUGCUCUUUCUUGAUUACAGAAAGGGGCAGUAAACCAUAGAUUCCAACUUAAAUGCUGCUCUAGGUUCUUCCUCUCUUGCUCCCUCUCCUCUAUCUAUUGUGCUGGCCACCUCAACUCAUAAGAGUUUAUGGACACUCGAGCUAACUGAUCUAUUCCCCGAAGAUCUACGGACAGCCUCAAUUAUGCUUGUGUUAUAGUUCCUUGUGAUUGGAAACCAUAGAGGAUACACACUCCAAGACGUCGACCUUGCUGUGAAGAUCCUCGGAAGUAACAAGCUUUGGACUUAGAUCCUUGUCUGGUUUUUCUCGCCAUCUCCACCUUCGUUGCAGAAGGCAAGCCCUUGUUGCAACUCAAUUUUGUUUUUUCUUAUUGUAUGGUGCACCAGCUCUUUUCCAUGUAAUAAGCACUGAUCCAUUGUCAUCAAAUUGUAAUAAGGAGUAGCACUUUGUCAGAAUAAUAAAUCACUAUUUCUUAUUUC